UGACCUAUGGAUUGACAGCCAGUAUCGGAGCCUCGCCCUGGCUGUCUGUUCUAUAGGGCAUA
rnacentral:pre_miRNA from 1 species